CAAGUACCCCACGGGUGCCCAUGAAGAAGUGGGCUGAGAUAGGCGCAGAUACCGCACCUAGACCGUUUGAACCUGUCUGGUUAGCACCAGCGAAGGAAGAGAGGAAGGCGCCAUGA
rnacentral:ncRNA from 2 species